UACGGGGGGGGCAAGCGUUGUUCGGAAUUACUGGGCGUAAAGGGCUGGUAGGCGGCCAACUAAGUCGGAUGUGAAAUCCCCAGGCUUAACCUGGGAACUGCAUCCGAUACUGGUCGGCUUGAAUCCGGGAGAGGGAUGCAGAAUUCCAGGUGUAGCGGUGAAAUGCGUAGAUAUCUGGAGGAAUACCGGUGGCGAAGGCGGCAUCCUGGACCGGCAUUGACGCUGAACAGCGAAAGCUAGGGGAGCAAACGGGG
rnacentral:rRNA from 1 species